rnacentral:ncRNA from 1 species
GGUUCACUGUUGACGUGAUUAAAAAGGGAAUCGGGUGAGAAUCCUGAACUGUCCCGCAGCUGUAAGCCGCCCAUUAUGGCAACAAACAAGAAACCACUGGAGAAGGUUCUGGGAAGGUCGUUUGUUGAACUGGGUGGCAAAGUCAGAAGACCUGCCUGUUGUGCC